rfam:Felis catus isolate Cinnamon breed Abyssinian chromosome C2, whole genome shotgun sequence.
GCCUGGGUGGCUCAGUCGGUUAAGCGCCGGACUUCAGCUCAGGUCAUGAUCUCACAGUUCGUGGGUUCAAGCCCUGCAUCGGGCU